GAUGAACGCUGGCGGCGUGCCUAAUACAUGCAAGUCGAGCGAACAGACGAGGAGCUUGCUCCUCUGACGUUAGCGGCGGACGGGUGAGUAACACGUGGAUAACCUACCUAUAAGACUGGGAUAACUUCGGGAAACCGGAGCUAAUACCGGAUAAUAUAUUGAACCGCAUGGUUCAAUAGUGAAAGACGGUUUUGCUGUCACUUAUAGAUGGAUCCGCGCCGCAUUAGCUAGUUGGUAAGGUAACGGCUUACCAAGGCAACGAUGCGUAGCCGACCUGAGAGGGUGAUCGGCCACACUGGAACUGGGACACGGUCCAGACUCCUACGGGAGGCAGCAGUAGGAAAUCUUCCGCAAUGGGCGAAAGCCUGACGGAGCAACGCCGCGUGAGUGAUGAAGGUCUUCGGAUCGUAAAACUCUGUUAUUAGGGAAGAACAAAUGUGUAAGUAACUAUGCACGUCUUGACGGUACCUAAUCAGAAAGCCACGGCUAACUACGUG
rnacentral:rRNA from 1 species